rnacentral:rRNA from 1 species
GACAGCAGUAGCCACGGUAAUGCGUAGGUGGCAAGCGUUGUCCGGAAUUAUUGGGCGUAAAGCGCGCGCAGGCGGAUCAGUCAGUCUGUCUUAAAAGUUCGGGGCUUAACCCCGUGAUGGGAUGGAAACUGCUGAUCUAGAGUAUCGGAGAGGAAAGUGGAAUUCCCAGUGUAGCGGUGAAAUGCGUAGAUAUUAGGAAGAACACCAGUGGCGAAGGCGACUUUCUGGACGAAAACUGACGCUGAGGCGCGAAAGCCAGGGGAGCGAACGGGAUUAGAUACCCGAGUAGUCCCUGUCUCUUAUACA